UGGCUCAGUGGUAGAGUGCUUGUCUUGCAUACAUGAGGCUUUGGGUUCGAUUCCUCA
rnacentral:tRNA from 1 species